GCAGCGGGGUGGCCGCCUCGAGCCCCCACCUGCCGGGGGGGCACCAAGCAGAGAGUGGGCUGCAGCUGGAAAACAGGGCAGGGGGAGAAGGGCCCCGCGACAGAGCAGCUCCACGGGGCUGGAAAAGCAGAUUUGAGAUGCUGCGUGGAGCUACGAGUCUUGAGGUUUUGGGUUUGCUUUGUGUUUUUUUUUUUUUUUUUUUUUUUUUAUGUUUUUUUUUUUUUUUUUUUUUUUUUAAGACACAAUUUGAUGGAGAGCAGACCCCGUCCCCUUUGGCAGCGCCGGCACAGCGCAGCACCUGCAUAGACGCCCCGAGGGGAAGGCAAGGGGCUGGGGGGGGAGGAGGGGAUCCAAAAGGUGCUGGGGGGGAGCGGGGAGAAGGGCUGGGCAGGGCAGCCCCCAGUCCCAGCUCCCCCCUGCCGCAGGCAGUGACCGCGUU
rnacentral:lncRNA from 1 species